UCCAGACAUAUAUGUAGAACACCACGAAUCGAAGCGAAUUGUUAAUCAAAUAAGCAAGAUUUUUUUCAGAAGCAAACAGCCAUGUGCUUUAUUGAAAUUCAUGAAUCCACCCAAACCCCUUACCAACAUGAAUGUAAAAUAAAGAACAUCAAAAGGAACUUGGCAACGAAUACAGGGGCAAGAACAAAAGAGUGAAAUGAGCAACUAGAUGCAGUAACAAACACCAUGCCCCACUCUUCUUAUGAUUUUCAUCAGUCAGCCAAGAGGCAUUUCACAGUCAUUUAAAAGACAUGCCACUCAAGUUGCAUCAGCAUGCCAUUCAUUAAGGCACAUAACACAGCAGACACGUCUUUAUAUGCUUUUGAGUGCAAGAGCAGGACAGAAGUUAUUGUUUUAUAUAUAAUUUCAACAAGAACUAAGGUGUAUACUACAGAAAGACUAACAACACCAGAGAAAAGGAAUCCAGGUUUAAUGAUCUCUCAAAUAAAAGCCAUCUGAAUUUUUUGAAACAUACAAAUGUACACAUAUGCCUCAACCUGAAUAGAUACAGCAUUUUUGCAUCUCAAAAAAGUAUAUGCUUCCAUACGAGGAAAAAAAAAUGUGGUAUAGUUUUUGUAUAAUUACAACCGUCUACUAUCAGAUAAACCCUCAGCACAUCAAUAAAUCAGGCCUGAAAAGAGCACAAUAGGAAAGAUCUGUUAUUAAAUAGGUCAUUUUCUGCAACUAUUUGGAUGCAGCACCAAACAAAAUAUGAUGGGCAGUCAGAUUUAUAUAUAUAUAUAUAUAUAUAUAUAAUGGAGCUAAUGUUAGUCAUUUCAAUUUGUUAUUUGUCACCAAACCAUAUGUCAAUGUCAACAAACUGUAAAAAAGCUUAUGCUGUUGGAAGUGCUUGAAUAAGAUUAAUUUAACAGAACACAUU